UCCUUCGGAAGAUCAGUGGCCAGGCCUGUC
rnacentral:piRNA from 1 species